rnacentral:rRNA from 1 species
GUCGAACGCUGGCCGGCGGUAGCCUAACACAUGCAAGGUCGAGUCGGAAGGCAGCAAUGCUUAGAGGCGAACGGGUGAGGAAAACGUAGUAACCAACCCUUUAGACUGGGAUAGCCACUGGAAACGGUGGGUAAUACCGGAUAAGCUCGAGAGAGGAAAGGCAGAGAAGCGCUAAAGGACGGAACUGCGCCCCAUCAGAUAGUUGGUGAGGUAAAGGCUUACCAAGUCAAAGACGGGAAACCGACGUGAGAGCGUGUACGGUCACAAGGGCACUGAGAGACGGGCCCUACUCCUACGGGAGGCAGCAGUGGGGAAUAUUGGGCAAUGGGGGAAACCCUGACCCAGCGACGCCGCGUGAGGGAAGAAGGCCUUGGGGUCGUAAACCUCUGUUGUGUGGGAAGAAGAGCGUGACGGUACCACACGAGGAAGUCCCGGCUAACUACGUG